UUCCCAGCAGUUUACACACACUGCCGAUUGCAUCACGGGUGGCCUUUCCACACCAGCUGUGGUUUGCUGAUUUCCUCUCGGAUCCCUUUCCUCUUUCACUUCGAUAAUAAGAAGGACGUCACAGGCACCAUUGAGCUAACAGAAUACAAUGCAUGCAAUUUCAGCAACAUUAAUUAAGGCUCAGAUGCAGAACAAAGGCAUACAACAACUGCAGGGAAGAAGACAAGGUGUCACCGCCUACAAUGAGAUCUGCUUCCUUCCGGGUCAGCGAGUCGCUUAUGCUCGACAUCCAGAUGCCUGAGCCUGGAAGGCCCUGCCGUCCUUGCCUGUCCACUGUCCCUUGCAACGCAUUAGCAUGUCUACUGGAAGUGAGCCAGAGGAAGGAAGUGAUAACACAUUGUGAGUCAACAGGCUGCCUGCCACAAGUUCCGGUAAAAGGAGUGAGAGUGUGAAAGAAGACGAAGACAGAAAAGAGUUUUAGGGGGUUGUGGGGAUUUCCAUCCUUCUUCCUCUCUAACCCAGAGAUAAUCAGGAGUUAACCCUCAUGUGAACUUCUUCAUGAUGGCAGGUUCAGAUAGAGACCACAUCCCUCUCUUGGGGUCAUGAGAAAUGUCCACAUUCACACUUUCCAUUCUGCUCUGGAUUAAAAAUAUUCAAAAUUGUUAAAAUGAUUUAUUUGUUUUAUUCAAAAGGUAGAGUUAUGGAGAGAGAAAAGCAGAGACAGAGACUGAGAGAUCUUC